GAUGAACGCUGGCGGCGUGCCUAAUACAUGCAAGUCGAGCGAACAGACGAGGAUCUUGCUCCUCUGACGUUAGCGGCGGACGGGUGAGUAACACGUGGAUAACCUACCUAUAAGACUGGGAUAACUUCGGGAAACCGGAGCUAAUACCGGAUAAUAUAUUGAACCGCAUGGUUCAAUAGUGAAAGACGGUUUUGCUGUCACUUAUAGAUGGAUCCGCGCCGCAUUAGCUAGUUGGUAAGGUAACGGCUUACCAAGGCAACGAUGCGUAGCCGACCUGAGAGGGUGAUCGGCCACACUGGAACUGAGACACGGUCCAGACUCCUACGGGAGGCAGCAGUAGGGAAUCUUCCGCACUGGGCGAAAGCCUGACGGAGCAACGCCGCGUGAGUGAUGAAGGUCUUCGGAUCGUAAAACUCUGUUAUUAGGGAAGAACAAAUGUGUAAGUAACUAUGCACGUCUUGACGGUACCUAAUCAGAAAGCCACGGCUAACUACGUG
rnacentral:rRNA from 1 species